rnacentral:miRNA from 1 species
UGAGGGCUGCAUGGUGCUAACG